AUUGAACGCUGGCGGCAGGCCUAACACAUGCAAGUCGAGCGGAUGAAGGGAGCUUGCUCCUGGAUUCAGCGGCGGACGGGUGAGUAAUGCCUAGGAAUCUGCCUGGCAGUGGGGGAUAACGUCCGGAAACGGGCGCUAAUACCGCAUACGUCCUGAGGGAGCAAGUGGGGGAUCUUCGGACCUCACGCUAUCAGAUGAGCCUAGGUCGGAUUAGCUAGUUGGUGGGGUAAAGGCCUACCAAGGCGACGAUCCGUAACUGGUCUGAGAGGAUGAUCAGUCACACUGGAACUGAGACACGGUCCAGACUCCUACGGGAGGCAGCAGUGGGGAAUAUUGGGCAAUGGGCGAAAGCCUGAUCCAGCCAUGCCGCGUGUGUGAAGAAGGUCUUCGGAUUGUAAAGCACUUUAAGUUGGGAGGAAGGGCAGUAAGUUAAUACCUUGCUGUUUUGACGUUACCAACAGAAUAAGCACCGGCUAACUUCGUG
rnacentral:rRNA from 1 species